rnacentral:rRNA from 1 species
UAUCACCUUUUGAGUUUGUUCUUGUGGGUUUCGAGGAGUUUAAAAGCCUUCUGAUUUGCUAGGAUUGGGCUCUUUUGGUGUACUUUCUCGUACGGUUAGUCAACAUCGGUUUUGAAUGUCAUAAAAUGACUGGAGGAAUGUGGCUUCGAUCUCGUAUCGAAGUGUUAUAACCUUUGGUAGAUGUGAUGUUCGAGACCGAGGAUUGCAACGGAUACCUUCUGGGCUAUUCGUCUGAUCUCUGAUACGUUGCCAUGAUGUCGAAAGCGUGCUUAUGAUGUUAGGGUAUUACGGUCAAAAGGUUAGAACGGAUUAAAUUCGUUAAGGAUGUUGACGUA